UGGGGAAUCUUGCACAAUGGGGGCAACCCUGAUGCAGCGACGCCGCGUGAGCGAUGAAGCCCUUCGGGGCGUAAAGCUCUUUCGACCGGAACGAUAAUGACGGUACCGGGAGAAGAAGCUGCGGCUAACUACGUGCCAGCAGCCGCGGUAAUACGUAGGCAGCAAGCGUUGUUCGGAGUUACUGGGCGUAAAGAGUGCGUAGGCGGUUUUCUAAGUUCGGUGUGAAAUCUCCCGGCUUAACUGGGAGGGUGCGCCGAAGACUUGGAAGCUCGAGUGUGGGAAAGGCAGGCGGAAUUCCUGGUGUAGCGGUGAAAUGCGUAGAUAUCAGGAGGAACACCGGCGGUGUAGACGGCUUGCUAGACCAUAACUGACGCUGAGGCACGAAAGCGUGGGUAGCAAACA
rnacentral:rRNA from 1 species